UUAUUUGUUCUGUUGUGUUUCUCAGAGAAGGAGCAGGCUGUAAAUCGAGCUGGUAUUGUCCAGGAAGAUGUGCAACCGCCAGGGUUGAAAGUGUGGUCUGAUCCAUUUGGCAGGAAAUGAGGCUGUCAGCAAGUCUGAUGAGGAAAGUGGACGUCUUUAUCCUGUGCACUCCGCAGUGGGGACAAUAGAUGCCUCACUGUG
rnacentral:lncRNA from 1 species